AUACGGAGGAUGCAAGCGUUAUCCGGAUUUAUUGGGUUUAAAGGGUGCGUAGGCGGAUGAUUAAGCGUGAGGUGAAAUGCCACUGCUCAACAGUGGAACUGCCUCGCGAACUGGUUGUCUUGAAUGCUCCUGCCGUGGGAGGAAUGUGUGGUGUAGCGGUGAAAUGCAUAGAGAUCACACAGAACACCGAUUGCGAAGGCAUCUCACGAAGGGGUGAUUGACGCUGAGGCACGAAAGCGUGGGGAUCAAACAGGAUUAGAUACCCUGGUAGUCCACGCAGUAAACGAUGAUAACUAACCGCUGGGCUUAUCAGUUCAGUGGCCAAGCGAAAGCGAUAAGCCAUCCACCUGGGGAGUACGACCGCAAGGUUGAAACUCAAAUGAAUUGGCGGGG
rnacentral:rRNA from 1 species